rnacentral:rRNA from 1 species
UACGGAGGGGGCUAGCGUUGUUCGGAAUUACUGGGCGUAAAGCGCACGUAGGCGGCUUUGUAAGUUAGAGGUGAAAGCCCAGGGCUUAACCCUGGAAUUGCCUUUAAGACUGCAUCGCUAGAAUCGUGGAGAGGUGAGUGGAAUUCCGAGUGUAGAGGUGAAAUUCGUAGAUAUUAGGAAGAACACCAGUGGCGAAGGCGACUCGCUGGACAAGUAUUGACGCUGAGGUGCGAAAGCGUGGGGAGCAAACAGG